CUCAUCUGCAGCAUGUGAUGUUCCCAGGCCAGGGAUCAAACUCACACCACAGCAGCAACCCAGGUUGUUGCAGUGACAACACCAGGUUCUUAACCCACUGUGCCACAGGGGAACUCCCGGAAGUAAAAUUCUUAUUUUAUUUCAGUUGUAUUUAUAUUUAAUCUCAAAUUUCAGAUUGUAAUAUGUUAGAACUUUAGUCCUUAUAAAAGAAAAUAAAUUUCUUGAAGAGAAAAAAAGAACGUCUUGUGGUAGCUGAAGGGUUCAUAAUUUCAUCCUGAUAAAAUUAUUUAUUAUAGUUUCCUCCAGCUGUCUUAUUUUUUAAGAAAUGCAUUGAUGGCUACGAGCGAUCAGAGCAAAGCUUCGAACUACUCAUACAUAAGUCUACAGUUAGCACAUGUAACAUAGGGAAAUGGUUACCACUACAAACUCAAUUUAUUUGUUAAUACUUUAUUAGUUUCAUGUUAAUAUUUUUUUCUUGAAGCCUAACCCACAGAGAAUUUCAUUACUACUACCAUUCAGGUGUCAAAUCCCUCUCUAAAACAAAACAAAAGAAACUCUUCUACAAAAGUGGAUCUUUAGUUUUGCAGACAAAAGAAACUGUGAAAAAGAAGAUUAAAUCUUCAUCAUUUUAACUUACAAAGCAAAUGCAUAGGGAAAUAGCAUUAUUCACCAUUUAAAUUGCCUAAUUAGUCUUGGGAGUUUUUUCAGUCUGUCCAAGGUAAAGGAAUUCUACACCCAGAUAUAAUAAUGUUAAAUGCCUAAAUAGCAGACUUAAGUAAAUCCUUCAUUGGAAAAAAUAAAUCACCUCUGUGCUGAGGAAGCUCUAUUCAGAUACCAUCUGAAAGAUCUAUCGAGCCCUGAAGUGAAAUACAUACAUUUUUAAAAGGAUAAACAUAGAGAAAAAUGUCUGUCCUGCUCUAAGGUGAAUAUAAAUAUCUAUCCAAAUGUUCAAGAGCUCCCUGAUUUAUUCUUAAGUAACAACCUGGACUCUCUAAACAUUGUUUAUGGUGGUCAAAUGAGCAUGUACACAGAGUUUCGAUACAAGAUAUCUGCUAGUAUACUUCCUUUUGAGAGUAAAACAUUCUUAAAGCAUCAUUUACUUUCACAAACAGCAUCUGCUCACCAUGUGGCACCAUUCUUGUUAACACCAAAGUAGCAAUUUGAGCUUAACAGCUUGGGAGCUCUGUUUAUAAUAAUAAUAGUAUAUGAUGUCAAGUCCUCAGAGUCUCAGAUGUCAAAGGUGAUCAUGAACCUAAAUGCAAAUUCCCAAAAAGUGCUCUGCUGGGAAAAGGAUUCUUACCAAAUCCACAGAUUCCAGUAGAAAUAGAAAUACUUGGUCUCUAGCUUCUAAUAAGCCCAGGAAUUGUCUUUCCAAUUUCACAGCAUCACCUUCAUCUGGUUCUAAUGUACACACGUCUAGUGAAUUAGUUCCCCUUGGGGGAGAAUUUUGUUGUCUUAAGAGCUUGAGAUUUUCAAUGAAGUGUCAAUGAUUUUAUACAAAUUAUUGAAAGUUUUAUAUUACAACUGUUCUCUUUCUUUUGUAUGAGCUGACUGUUUACUUUUUGAGCACCUUCAAACCUUCUAGCAUUUCAGAAUAAUGUUUAAAACAUGGCAUUAUUAAGAAACUUUAAGAUUGCAGCUGUGAAAACAGACCUAUGUCAUUAUAAUCAGUGAGAAAGUCCCUUAAGUGGGAUUUCAGAAUAUAAAAGGAGCCCAUGCAGAGAAUUGGCAGGGUAAAAACCAGAGAGAAAAGAAGGAAAGAAAGAGGAGAAAAAAAUCCAUCAGGCAAAGAGAGGGGGUGUUUCUAUUCUUGACAGCCCAUUUAAAAAUAUUAGUAAUUCAGUAUUUGAGUAGAAGACUUCUUCUACGGGGGAGGAGAUAUAGUUACUUACUGCAUUGCUUUGCAUAAUCACUUUAUAUGUUACAUCUAUUAAAGCACUUAUUCUUGUUUAUUCUAAAUGGUUAUUUACCUAUCUGUUUUUCUUGUAGACUGUGAGCUCUUCCAGUGCCAGGACUAUGUGGUAUGUGUCCUACAAAAUAGGACCUAUUACAUUUCAGGCAUUCAACCUUUAUGGUUAAAUAAGUGGUAGAGUCUAGCAAUUGUAUAGAAAACACAUUUUUGGUCAGACUAAGAUGCAGAAGUAAGAAAAUAUUUGGGGAAGGAAAAAUUAUUCUGUCUUAGCAUUGUUAUUAAUGGAAGAAAUGUUCAAUAUACUUUAACAUGCUGUGGUAAGAUGACCACAGAGACUCAGCAAAUUAAACGACACUUCUCUGGGUUGUCCUCAUCUCCUGGGACAGACAGUAAUUCUAUAGUGAGUGUUUUUCCUUUGGACAUUGAACUUUUUGCCUGAACAGAUUUGUAGGAACAGAGAAGGCAGACUAUAGUAUAUUACUCAUGUGAUAUAUUUUGUAGCCUGGUGUCCUGAGAAAUGAAGAUAAUGAGACACUUAAAGUUCCUCCUUGAAAGAAUAGUUUAGAUAAAUCCAAACUCCAUAAGAAGGAAGAGAUUCCAAAAAGGGGCCACAGUGGACUGGAUUGGGGGAAAGUGGUAUCCUAUUUCAGCUGGGCCCCAGGCACCGCCUCUCAAGUCUCUUACCCUGUCCUUUCUUGUCAAGUUUGCCAGUUUUCUUAGUGUCUACAAGGAAUCUUCAUCUCUUUUCUCAAGGUCUAUAAACAAUAUUUGCAAUUCUUCCCCUUCUUCCAUCCUAAAAAAAAUACCCUCCCUUUAGUCUGUGUCCGUUAAAACACUGUCAUUUUCUUCCCUUUCCUUUUGGUGCACAUUUCCUUCCUCUUCAUCUCCACUUCCACAUCAGCCUGCAGCUCCUCUACCACCGGACUCUAGCUUCCAGCUCCAUCACUCUAAGAUACUGCUCUCACCAAAUCUGCCGGUGACUCCCUAACUGCCACAUCUAUGGACACUUUUAGCCCGCAUUGUACGGAAGGUUUGAUAUUGUUGAUUCCUCCUUCAAUACAGCUCAAAAGAGCUGACAAAAAAUAGGCUAGUUAUGAGGAAUAAUAUUAGUAAAGUGCUUAGCACAGCUCUUUGCACAUAGUAGUAAAAGCUGUUUGCUAAUGUUAUUAUAGUACUAUUCUUCUCAGAUGCCUUCGUGAGUCCUCUUUCUGCAUCUCCUUUUUAACGCAGGUGCCCCUAACCAAGUGCCCUGGUGGUCCACACUCUGUCACUGGGUAAUUUUCCCAGCCUUUUGAUUUUAACAACACUCAUGUUAUGAUGCUCACCUCUACAUCUCCAGCCCAGUGACCGACUAAAUCUUUCUAUGUGUACAUCUAACUGCCUGUAGGAAAUCCUCACCUCAAUUGGCAAUACAUCCUUGGGGGGUAAAACCACCCCCAUUUGAGAAUAGGUGGUUCACAUAGAUGGUUAUUUGUGUCUUUCCUCAGGUGACUGUGAACUUCCUGAGAGCUGGCAGUGUCUCAUUCAUCACUGUGUCUUUCAGACACAGCACAGAGCCCCAUACACACUGAAGCCACAAAUCUAACACUACAAUUCUCAAUUUAGAAGAUCUUACUUUAAUGAGAAAGCAUAUUUACACCCUCACCCCACCAAAGUCCCUGUAUAGAUUGUUACGUCUAGUCCCGAUUUCUCAUAAAAGGAAGCAUCUAGAAUAUUUCAAUAAUGAGAAAAAAUACAUGUUAAGUGGAUGGUGACUAAAAUUUUGAGAUAAGAGCAUACUGUUAAAUUUAGAAAUCAGAUGAAACUUUACUUGAGAAAAGGUUUGAAUAAUAGUAUAUUCUAUUAAAAGAAUGAUUUGCUGGUUAUUUUAAAAAUAAUCCAAGGAAACAGGAACUUCUAAAAAUUUCCCAGCAGCCUAAGUCCAAAACUUGAAAGAAAUAAUAAAGUACUGGGGCUGUUACAUCUGAAGCCAUCGCAUCUAUGGCUCCCUGUCAAUUUAUAGUGGUAAAUGUGCCACAGAAACAAAUUUGUCAUGGGAAUUUUCACAGCAAUAAAUAUCACAGUCUGGUGGCAGUAGAUGGAGUUAUGGAUCACACCCUCACAAGUCUUAGGCCUAGUUUGGGGAAUGUGACAUGUGUAAUGCACAUUAGCUGAGACCUUCAAGUCUUUUCAUGCUUCACAAACCAGACCAGAUUGGCUGAACUACAGAAUAUAUUUGCUGCAACACAAUAAGUUAGCCUAAGUCAUACCCCAGCUGAUUGUGAGAGACAAAUUAGCUGAAAUCAGAUUUUCAAACCAAUGUGAUACAGUGGGAAUGUGGAUCAAUCUCAAAAUCACUUUGAUCCACAAAUCAUAAUGUUCUCCAUUGCUCAAAGGCAUGAAACCACUUAAGUGGAAUAGGAUUUACUAAGAAUACCAUCAAUUAAAAGAUAAAGUAUUAGAAUGUCUAGGUUCCAAAAGUGUGUAUAUCAUUGGCCUCUAACUUAGAAGCUUUAUAAUCAUGGCUACAAGUCAUAUACCUCAAGAGAGUCCUAAAAGAGUCAAUAAUAGACUUGCCUUCAAAAAAUUAAUGAUCUAAUAUUUAAAACAGGAGUACAACAUGAUCACAAAACCAGGUAAUAUUUGAAGGUAACAUAAACGGGGCAAAUUAAGUGCCAGGGAGGUUUCAAAGUAAAGAGACAUUGCAUUUGAUAGAAGGACACCAGGAUUCUUGCAGAGGGAGAUAUUUUAGAUGAGGUGAUGUAUCACAAGUAGAAAUUGGGUUGGGCUCUGUUCAGAAAAACACCAAUAAAUCAUUUUUUAAUUUAUGUGAAAGCCUAAAACACAGUGCUUGAUUCAUGGGAGGCACUCAACAAACAUUCAUUUUCUUCCCUCCUGUAGGGGUGUUGUGGACUGAACUGUGUUCCUCCCAAAUUCAUAUGUUGAAGUCUUAACCCCCAGUGCCUCAGAAUGUGCCUGUGUUUGGAGACAGGGCCUUUAAAGUGGGAAUUAGGUUAAAACGAGUUCAUAUGGAUGGGUCCCAAUUCAAUAUGACAGGUAUCCUUACAAGGAGAGGUUAGGACAUGGACACACACAAGGGAAACCAUGUGAAGAUACAGGAAAAGAAUGGUCAUCUACAUGUGAAGGAGAGAGGCCGCAGAAGAAACCAGCCCUGCCAACAGCUUGAUCUGGGACUUCUCCCUUCCAGAACAAUGGGGAAUUUAAUUUCUGUUGUUUAAGCCAUCCAAUCUUUGUUACUUUAUUAUGGGCAACCUGGCAAAUUAAUACAAGGGGUCAGUGAAUGCAGGGCUAAGAAGAUGACUUGGAUAUCUCCAGUGAAGGAGAUGAAGUUUGGGGGCUUGAUUUAUGAGUGGAUAGGAAGUUGAACCAGGUGUGUGAGCUGAGACCUGAGCUUAGAUGAAAAAGAUUUGGCUUUUGUGUUUGGGUUGUGACAGUGAGGGAGACAAAUUUAGAAGACCAGUUUAGAGAGUACUGGGUCAUUCAAUCAGCCGAAGUACAAAAUAUUCGGGAUAUGAACUGGUUCACUGAUAGCAGGAAUGGGAAUUAAAGUGUAUUUAACUUAGCUAUUGACUUUACAAAGGAGAGCCAGGGAAUGAGAAAGCUCAGUGUUUCCAAGUGUUUAGCAUGGUAAAGAUAUUAAUAAUAAGGAUGUUAGUAUAAUUGUUAAUAAGUUAAAAACAUGGUUCUCUGUACAUAUAGAAUACAUAUGUUAAAGAUUUUAUUCAACUUUUUAAUUAAUGGGAAAAAAAAACGGUGAUGCACACAUAAACACAUACCCCAAAAAUGGUCAAUCAAGAAUGCUGAUAUUAAUUUCCUAAUAAGUGACAAACUGGUUAAUAUAUUAUAAAGGGUGAUAGAAUUACUUGGGACAUUUUUUUCCAUAUUAUAGUGAUCAAAUGUUUCUAUGGGACAAAAUACCCUUGUACUGCUGUGGAGAAGAGUCAUUUGCACAGCUAUCAGUUUUCUACAACUUCUGCACUUUCAGAGUGUAAAAUAACUCAGUCAACAGAAAGAUAAUAAAAGAUGUGCACUCCUAUAGAAUUAGAUAAUCCACAGAGGGUCCCCUAGGUAUGCUUUUGUCCAUUUCCAAGUCGUGUGUUAUUUUUUCUGACAAAUACAGGAGAGGUUAUUUCCCAUUUUAGGUAUAUUAAAUAUGUAGCUCCAAAGACACACUCAGGGAAGAAAGUUCAACAUGCAAUCAGAAGGGUAGAGGCUGCACCUCAGUAGAAUAAAUGCUUUGAAUACAUUUAUCAGCUCUGCUUCAUGUGUCCACAUACUUCAUCAGUGAUCUCAUCAAAUUGAGACAUGAUUAGAGCUGAAAUUGGAGGCAAUGGCCGAGGGCUCCACCCCUUCUCUCCUCCUUACUUUUCAAUAGCCUACUUUACUGCAAUCCCUGUGUCUAACUGGCUUAAAAAUCUUCCUUCUGAGUUCUUGACAUGGCUUCCCUUCUCUGGCACUUUGAUGUCUGGUAUUUAUGUCUCCUUUCUGGUAUCUGGAUCUCAGCUUUCCUCUUCUGCAAUGCUAGCCUCUUGGACCAAGAUUUCAGCUGAUAGUUGUGGUAGGAAAGGCUUGCUCUAGUCUAGACCUAAACAGGGAAGAACCCAAGUCUCAUGUUAAUCAUUUGGUUGGUGCUCAGGUCAGCC
rnacentral:lncRNA from 1 species